UACGAAGGGGGCUAGCGUUGUUCGGAAUCACUGGGCGUAGAGGGCGCGUAGGCGGCUUUAUAAGUCGGGGGUGAAAGCCUGUGGCUCAACCACAGAAUUGCCUUCGAUACUGUAGAGCUUGAGACCGGAAGAGGUAAGUGGAACUGCGAGUGUAGAGGUGAAAUUCGUAGAUAUUCGCAAGAACACCAGUGGCGAAGGCGGCUUACUGGUCCGGUUCUGACGCUGAGGCGCGAAAGCGUGGGGAGCAAACAGG
rnacentral:rRNA from 1 species